rnacentral:lncRNA from 1 species
AUUCGGAAGAAAAUUAUUUGUUUCUCAUUCCUGAUGAUAAUUUUAUUAGAAAAAUAAAUGCGUGUGUUCAAUUUUACGAAAACGGGAUAAAAUUUGAAACUAAAAGUUUUUGUUCGAUCUGUUAAAACUAAUCCUAUAGCCAUUAUUGACUGCAUAUUGUAUGAGAACGAAAUUCAGUUGACUAUACUAAUAUAAGUUCGACUUCGUACAUGUGUGACGUCUUGUCUCCAGUUACCGGAUAUCCGGUUGACUUUCAUAUUUGCCGGAAGUUGUCUAUGUUGAUUUAAUAUAUAUUUCAGAAUUAUUAUUUUAAAUAUAGUCACAGACUUGCGACAUAAAUAUUGAUAAUUAUUCCGGAAUGUUUUUUUUUUUUAAUUUUAAAGAAAGCUUAUCCAGCAGUUUUAACAAGAAAAUAUUUUAUUUAUUACACACAGCAGAUUGUAAAAAAAUUGCUGAUACAAAACUCCAACAUAUCCCUCAUAACAUUCAGUUGUAGCGAUCUAAAAAAAAAAAAAAAAACUAACUCGGCAGUUUACUAUCAGAUAAUUUUAUGCAAAUGAUCGUAUAACCCGGAGUAAUCUUCCUUUAUUAGCAGAUAAACGUUUUCGCUAAAUACACUCGUUAAACAGAAACCAAGAAUUUUAGUUUCUUUUAAAAAAGGGAAUCGGUUGCCAUGACGACCUGCCAAGGCCGUCUGCCGACGGAAGCUCGGAGAUAAAAGGAAGGGGGAAGCAAAGAUUGAACAAGAGACAGCGAAGCAGUGCGGGCUCGGCACCUAGCAACAAGGCACGCGCUUACACGUGACCCAUGGCCCGGGGCAAGGUGGCUAGAACCAACGCGUGCUUCGCCCAUUAGGAAUGGUUUAUGUGGGGCGUCCUUGCGUGUGACGACCUUUGACCUGUCGCCUCCCGCAAAUCAACGACACUUUUCUGUCUUUUCCCCUUUUUCAUUGGCUCCUCCCCAUUCCCGCCUGACUGUGAAAGAGAGGAAUGUGUUUCGGAUCCACCCCCAACUUGGUCUUCUUUUGUCACACCUGAAAGAGACUGUUCUUUUCUGUCUGAGUCCGCCUAUACCAUUGGGGACUGAAUUGGGGAAGGUUAGAAUUCUGUUAGUUAACGGUUUCACUCUAGUUUUCCUUCUCGAUUAAAAAAAAAAGAGGAAACAAUUUAUAAACGUGAAUUUACUACAGAUUUCUGUUCUUCCGAAAGCUAAAUGGUUUCCUAUUAUCGUGUUAUUUUUGUAUUCUUAAAUAAGUCAACAUUCUGUCUGCCAACUUGAUUUUUCUCUUCAAAUGAAUUUCUAGGCACACCUGGUGAACGUCUCGGUUGAUUAAUGGAAGGAAAUUCAGCUUCAGUCCCACAGUCGGGGGUGAUGUCAUCCUAAUGACUGGCUGUCUGAGAUUCGGGGGUAUAUAUUUAAUAACCACUAGAUGUUGUUUGUCUUGGUUGAUUCUUUUAUCUCGCUGUAUUUUGUUCGUAAUUUUUUUUUUUUUCAUAUUUCAACUAAAGUACCAAAUAACUUCUAUCUAGAGUUAAACAAAAUAAACAUUAUUUACGUAAGAAUUAUUGGAGAUGUGCCAAAGAAGACGCCAAAUUCGUUAUUGAAGGAAAUUUUUACUUUGAAAGAUUCAAAUCACGAUUCGAUUUGUACGAAUGACACGGAAAAAGGAGAGGUUUAAAUUUUAUCCGCCUUUUCGAAGAUAAAAUUGGAGUAUCUUUACCACUACGGAAAGAUGGAAUGGGGUUUUGAUAAAAAUCCGCUAUAUCAAAAAUAGUUUUACCAAUUUCCUCUUGUAUCUAUUUUCUGACAGACAUUUUUUCCUCGGUUAACGUUAAUUAAUAUAUAUAUAUAACGCCUUUAACUUCCGAGAAUUUAUUAUUUUCCCGAAGAAAGCAAUUUUAAUAGAUUAGAAGCGUUAAAUUUUGUGCGACUUAAGUGCCGGAUACGAUUCCGAAAUGUUUCGUAAUCCACGAGAAGAAAUUAUGACUCUGUUAUUUGUGGGAAUGCCGAUAGUGGGUGGAUCUGUUACUCAAAAUUAUUUGGAAAUUUUGAAUUGUGGCGUCUUAACCUCGAGUGGAAAAUAGUUUAUGAAUUUUUCAUCAAUAAGAGUCUUUCGUCAUGUUCUAAACUUUUUCAAAAUAAUUCUCUCUCGUUUCGGUUGAAUUUACUUGUGACUGGAAUUAGAUAUAUGCUAGUUUAAGUAAUAAUAAAAUGAAUGCGAUUAGGAAUAG